rnacentral:Y_RNA from 1 species
GGCUGGUCCGAAGGUAGUGAGUUAUCUCAAUUGACUGUCUACAGUCAGUUACAGAUCGAACUCCUCGUUCUACUCUUUCCCCCCUUCUCUCACUACUGCACUUGACUAGUCUUAA